rnacentral:rRNA from 1 species
AACGUAGGAGGCGAACGUUAUCCGGAUUUACUGGGCGUAAAGCGCGUGUAGGCGGUUUGGUAAGUAGGGCGUGAAAGCUCCCGGCUCAACUGGGAGAGGUCGUUCUAAACUGCCGAGCUAGAGGAUGGUAGAGGGAGGUGGAAUUCCGGGUGUAGCGGUGGAAUGCGCAGAUAUCCGGAGGAACACCAGUGGCGAAGGCGGCCUCCUGGACCAUUCCUGACACUCAGACGCGAAAGCGAGGGGAGCAAACGGG